AUGAAAACAGCCUGGGGUGCUGGGUUGGAGUUUGCAGAACUGGAAUAACUGCAGCAAUACAAUUUAAAAACCCAAUAGCAGUGUGUAGGGCUGUGAGAAUGCUUUUGGGCCUAUCCAUUGUGUCUCCCCUUGAAAGGUUGUGGUGUUGUUUAAUGUUUCCCUCGUUGAUUCCCCCUGAUUUUAAAUGAAUUCCUAAUUGUGCGAUGUGAUAAAGAAAUCCAGGUCAGCAGAAGGUUUGGUAAAUAAAAGGUGCAUGGUAUCUGCCUGUGAUGCACUGUGUACUUACACACCCUUCCCACACUCUUUGGAUUGCGGUGGACAUUGCC